CUGCUGCCUUCCGUAGGAGUCUGGGCCGUGUCUCAGUACCAGUGUGGGGGACCUUCCUCUCAGAACCCCUACGCAUCGUCGUCUUGGUGGUCCGUUACACCGCCAACUAACUAAUGCGACGCAUGCCCAUCCGCCACCGGAAUCAACCUUUGGCACCAACAGGAUGUCCCGUCGAUGCAUUAUGCCGUAUUAGACGGAAUUUCUCCCGAUUAUCCGGCUGUGGCAGGCAGGUUGCAUACGUGUUACUCACCCG
rnacentral:rRNA from 1 species